CAGGGAAAUGGGAAGAACUAGAUUUGAAUCCAGACCUUUAGUUCUUCCCUUUGCCCAAUU
ensembl:miRNA MIR5584 microRNA 5584